rnacentral:rRNA from 1 species
CAGCCGCCGCGGUAAUACGGAGGGGGCUAGCGUUGUUCGGAAUUACUGGGCGUAAAGCGCACGUAGGCGGCUUGGUAAGUUAGAGGUGAAAGCCUGGAGCUCAACUCCAGAAUUGCCUUUAAGACUGCCGAGCUAGCAGGUGAGAGAGGUAAGUGGAAUUCCGAGUGUAGAGGUGAAAUUCGUAGAUAUUCGGAAGAACACCAGUGGCGAAGGCGGCUUACUGGCUCAUACUGGACGCUGAGGUGCGAAAGCGUGGGGAGCAAACAGGAUUAGAUACCCCAGUAGUCCCUGUCUCUUAUAC